UAUGUCUUAUAAUUCUACACCCAGGAUCAUGGAAGUUACUAUAAAGUUGCUCUGGAGUUCUUUGACUUGGUCAUGAUUAUCAAUAAAUAGAGGUACUUGUUAUCAUGACAUGUCCUGGAAAUGUUCCCCUGAGAUGGAUGUUUCUAGUCUGCAAAGUGAACAAUGAAGAUUCUGGAAAACUACUCCACCAUCAUCUGAUGUGGUUCUGAUGGCUGUGCAUUUCUCAGCUUUAUCCUUAGCCUGUGGGUAAGUCCAAGACUCAUGGAAAACCAAUUAGACUAUCUUUUCUUGGCAUUUAGAAAUAUUGAAGAAGAAUGAUAUA